CAGGCUGAGCCGGCAUGGACGCCGGCGAAAGCACGGCUGAGCCAGGACGGCGAAUCCGGGCGGGCCGUCA
rfam:Tatumella ptyseos ATCC 33301 GTPT.assembly.065, whole genome shotgun sequence.